UUUUCUACAAUGACCUAAUUUCAAGCCCUAAUGCCUCUUUCGUAUUCCAUUCGUGCAACCCUCUCUCCCCCUUCUUUGUAAACAGCGAUGAACAAACCCUUAACCAUAUGAUGACUUUCGUGCGACGAAGAACACGAUGAACAGCGACCGGCGAUCAGUGAGCAGCGACCAGAGGGGAGCGACCAGAGGGGAGCGACGAAGGUCGGCGACCAGUCACUAUUGUUCAGUUCUACCAGGACGAAGCUACUUGGAUUUUGUACCAUGGACAAUGAGGUGGUUUUUUGAUAAGUGCAGACAGUAAGGCUCAAGUGCUUGAAGGUUUAUAAAUUUUUCAAUAGCAGUGCUAGGAAAUUGAUGAUAUUCUUGACAAAUGGAUUUAGUUCCUGUUUUGGAACAUUGAUGAAUGGUGAAUUGUUUUGGAACAUUGAUAAAUGAUGAAUUUUGUAAUUGUAGAA